UUUGAGGUAGGGCCUGAAGGCUGACAACAAGUCUGUCAUGGAGUGGUCAGGAGGAAGAAUAUUCCAGCCAAAAAGAAAAGCAAGUACAAAGGUCCUGAGGUGGGAACAGAAAGUGUUCAAGUGAGAAGAAUGGAUGCGCCUACAGCAUGGAUGACCUUGAAAAAACUAUGGCCAGUGAAAGAAGCCAUCUGGAAAAGGCCACAGGUUGUGUAAUUCGUUCUACAAAAUGUCCAGAACAGACCCCACAGAUGUAGAGACGCCCCCUAGUGGAAGCAUCUCAGACUAGGAAGUCCGACUGCCUUGUAACGGGUCUACACGGCUGUAGGCUCCACAACCAGCAUGAACCUCACAUGAACCCAACAUGGGGCUUGAACUUACAACCCUGAGAUCAAGACCUGAGCUGAGAUCAAGAGUUGGAUUCUUGUCUGACUAAGCCACCCACAUGCCCCUUUUUUAUACAUUCCUUUUUUAAAAAUAUAAUAAUAUUCUUAUAUAGAAACUCUGUAGCAUAAUGAACUUCUCUUCCCGUUGGCUGGGAA